AACGAACGCUGGCGGCAGGCUUAACACAUGCAAGUCGAACGCCCCGCAAGGGGAGUGGCAGACGGGUGAGUAACGCGUGGGAACAUACCCUUUUCGACGGAAUAGCUCUGGGAAACUGGAAUUAAUACCGUAUACGCCCUACGGGGGAAAGAUUUAUCGGGGAAGGAUUGGCCCGUGUUGGAUUAGCUAGUUGGUGGGGUAAAGGCCUACCAAGGCGACGAUCCAUAGCUGGUCUGAGAGGAUGAUCAGCCACAUUGGGACUGAGACACGGCCCAAACUCCUACGGGAGGCAGCAGUGGGGAAUAUUGGACAAUGGGCGCAAGCCUGAUCCAGCCAUGCCGCGUGAGUGAUGAAGGCCUUAGGGUUGUAAAGCUCUUUCACCGAUGAAGAUAAUGACGGUAGUCGGAGAAGAAGCCCCGGCUAACUUCGUGCCAGCCGCCGCGGUAAUAC
rnacentral:rRNA from 1 species